rnacentral:rRNA from 1 species
GAUGAACGCUGGCGGCGUGCCUAAUACAUGCAAGUCGAGCGAACAGACGAGGAGCUUGCUCCUCUGACGUUGGCGGCGGACGGGUGAGUAACACGUGGAUAACCUACCUAUAAGACUGGGAUAACUUCGGGAAACCGGAGCUAAUACCAGAUAAUAUAUUGAACCGCAUGGUUCAAUAGUGAAAGACGGUUUUGCUGUCACUUAUAGAUGGAUCCGCGCCGCAUUAGCUAGUUGGUAAGGUAACGGCUUACCAAGGCAACGAUGCGUAGCCGACCUGAGAGGGUGAUCGGCCACACUGGAACUGAGACACGGUCCAGACUCCUACGGGAGGCAGCAGUAGGGAAUCUUCCGCAAUGGGCGAAAGCCUGACGGAGCAACGCCGCGUGAGUGAUGAAGGUCUUCGGAUCGUAAAACUCUGUUAUUAGGGAAGAACAAAUGUGUAAGUAACUAUGCACGUCUUGACGGUACCUAAUCAGAAAGCCACGGCUAACUACGUG